GACGAACGCUGGCGGCGUGCUUAAUACAUGCAAGUCGAACGGAAAGGCCCUGCUUUUGUGGGGUGCUCGAUUGGCGAACGGGUGAGUAACACGUGAGUAACCUGCCCUUUACUUUGGGAUAUCUUCAGGAAACUGGGGCUAUUACCGGAUAUGAGCUCCUGCUGCAUGGUGGGGGUUGGAAAGUUUCGGCGGUUGGGGAUGGACGCGCGGCUUAUCAGCGUGUUGGUGGGGUAGUGGCUUACCAAGGCUUUGCCGGGUAGCCGGCCUGAGAGGGUGACCGGCCACAUUGGGACUGAGGGACGGACCAGACUCCUACCGGAGGCAGCAGUGGGGAAUAUUGCACAACGGGCCGAAGCCUGAUGCAGCAACGCCGCGGGCGGGAAGACGGCCUUCGGGUUGUAAACCGCUUUCGCCUGUGACGAAGCGAGAGUGACGGUAAUGAGUAAAGAAGCACCGGCUAACUACGUG
rnacentral:rRNA from 1 species